CCCUUAGAUGUUCUGGGCCGCACGCGCGCUACACUGAUGCAUGCAACAAGUCUUUUCCUUGGCCGAGAGGCCUGGGCAAUCUUUGAACGCUGGUCGUGAUGGGGAUAGACUUUUGCAAUUUUUGGUCUUCAACGAGGAAUUCCUAGUAAACGCAAGUCAUCAACUUGCAUUGAUUACGUCCCUGCCCUUUGUACACACCGCCCGUCGCACCUACCGAUUGAAUGGUCCGGUGAAGCCUCCGGAUUGGCGCGCACCUCGGUGCCGCCGAGAAGUUGGCUAAACCUUACCAUUUAGAGGAAGGUGAAGUCGUAACA
rnacentral:rRNA from 1 species